GAAAUUUUUGUUUACGCUAGUUAAGAUCAAAAUUUUGGAAAAGUGGUAACCAUUUACCGUUUGUAAUCUAAAAUGACUGAAAAUUGCAAAUUUCGCAAGGCAAUAUUAUCCGCAUUUUACAACAUUUCGCAACGAAACUUUGGAAUAUUACUAAUUUUGUGAUGCUCUUUCAAGCUGUGAUGAAAUUUUUGUUUAGGCUAGUUAAGAUCAAAAUUUUGGAAAAGUGGUAACCAUUUCCUGUUUGUAAUCUAAAAUGACUGAAAAUUGCAAAUUUCGCAAGGCAAUAUUAUCCGCAUUUUACAACAUUUCGCAACGAAACUUUGGAAUAUUACUAAUUUUGUGAUGCUCUUUCAUGCUAUGAUGGAAUUUUGUCCAGACUUGUUG